rnacentral:ncRNA from 2 species
AUUUCGCUGAUCUAUUGUCCAGCGAGAU